rnacentral:rRNA from 1 species
CAGUCGCCGCGGUAAUACAGAGGGUGCAAGCGUUAAUCGGAAUUACUGGGCGUAAAGCGCGCGUAGGUGGUUUGUUAAGUUGAAUGUGAAAUCCCCGGGCUCAACCUGGGAACUGCAUCCAAAACUGGCAAGCUAGAGUAGGGCAGAGGGUGGUGGAAUUUCCUGUGUAGCGGUGAAAUGCGUAGAUAUAGGAAGGAACACCAGUGGCGAAGGCGACCACCUGGACUGAUACUGACACUGAGGUGCGAAAGCGUGGGGAGCAAACAGGAUUAGAGACCCCAGUAGUCCCUGUCUCUUAUAA